rnacentral:rRNA from 1 species
UACGGAGGGUGCAAGCGUUGUUCGGAUUUACUGGGCGUAAAGGGCGCGUAGGCGGUCGUGACAAGUCACUUGUGAAAUCUCCGGGCUUAACUCGGAACGGUCAAGUGAUACUGUCGUGCUAGAGUACAGAAGGGGCAACUGGAAUUCUCGGUGUAGCGGUGAAAUGCGUAGAUAUCGAGAGGAACACCUGCGGCGAAGGCGGGUUGCUGGGCUGAUACUGACGCUGAGGCGCGAAAGCCAGGGGAGCGAACGGGG